rnacentral:rRNA from 1 species
CGCGGCCUAUCAGCUUGUUGGUGAGGUAACGGCUCACCAAGGCAUCGACGGGUAGCUGGUCUGAGAGGACGAUCAGCCACACUGGGACUGAGACACGGCCCAGACUCCUACGGGAGGCAGCAGUAGGGAAUCUUGCGCAAUGGGCGAAAGCCUGACGCAGCAACGCCGCGUGGGGGAUGAAUGCCUUUGGGUUGUAAACCCCUUUCAGCAGGGACGAAAAUGACGGUACCUGCAGAAGAAGCUCCGGCCAACUACGUGCCAGCAGCCGCGGUAAUACGUAGGGAGCGAGCGUUGUCCGGAAUUAUUGGGCGUAAAGAGCUCGUAGGCGGUUCAGUAAGUCGGGUGUGAAAACUCGAGGCUCAACCUUGAGACGCCACUCGAUACUGCUGUGACUUGAGUCCGGUAGAGGAGUGUGGAAUUCCUGGUGUAGCGGUGAAAUGCGCAGAUAUCAGGAGGAACACCAGCGGCGAAGGCGGCACUCUGGGCCGGUACUGACGCUGAGGAGCGAAAGCAUGGGGAGCAAACAGGAUUAGAUACCCUGGUAGUCCAUGCCGUAAACGUUGGGCACUAGGUAUGGGAUCAUAUCAACGGAUUCCGUGCCGUAGCUAACGCAUUAAGUGCCCCGCCUGGGGAGUACGG